rnacentral:lncRNA from 1 species
GUUUCCUCAAGCGCCUUUUUUGCACUCUUUGGGUAAAUGAAUAAAAUUUGGGUGAUGAGCAAAGCACAUAAAUAUUGGGUGUCCUAGAAAAAGGUCAGAUGCUCCCGUUUUGUAUUUGCCUGUCACCUGGCUUGGCAUAUUUAAGAAAGAUCCAGAACUCUGGGUGGUCCCCAGGUUUCUCUCUUCUGCCUUCCCUUGGAGGCCAUCAGUGGAUCUCUGUGCCAACCAGGUGCAGAGGAGCCGGCAUCACUUUCAUUACACCUACAUGCUCCAGUAUCAAUCACGCCACCAUGGCGGCCUGUCUGGGAGCAGUUCAUUUCAAGCAGAUCCUGCGCCUAUCUGACUACAGCCACCAGAGUCAGGACUGACACAGCCUCCAAGACAACCAGCAGCCUCCUCUGAAGGGCAGGGCACAGCACAGCCCAGGAGCCUCUGCUGUGAGUGGAGCACUCAAGGCCCAGGGCGGUCCUAGAAAUCAUUAACCACAGGAGCCGAUCUUCUAGCAGAAGGGAGGGGAGUGCAAGACCCUGCUGCUGGGCCAGUCAGGGAUGUUAAAACAAGCGUUUCAAAGAGACACUUCCAUUCACUCUAAACCCACAAGAGAGAUGGAGUGACAGAGCCAUUUAUUUGCAGAAGAGCUGGGUAGGGAUGGAAAGGAGAGGCAGAGAGAAAAAGGAAGAGAGAAAAAAGGAGAGAUGGGAGAGGGAGAGGUAAAGGGGAGAGAGAAAAGGUUCAGAAAGCAUGUAGGGAGAGAAAGAGAUAGAGAAGGAUAUGGGGCUUUACGCAAGCACAUUGUAGUUCAUCAGCACCGUACCUUGGCUCAGAGUCUGGAGGAAGAUUCAGCUGAGCCGUGUAUAUAUGCGGUACUUCUCAGAGACUAGAAUAGAAUACAAUAGCCAUGCUGAUGCUGAUGAUACUCAUGAUACCGGUGCUGGUGAUGCUGUUGAGCAUUCUCUGUGUCCUGCCUUUGGUUUAUGUUCUUUACAAACACAGCCUCAAAGAGACACUGAUGUAUAGAACAGUCUUAUGGACUCUGUGGGAGAGGGA